CCUACGGGAGGCAGCAGUGAGGAAUAUUGGUCAAUGGGCUUACGCCUGAACCAGCCAAGUCGCGUGAGGGAAGACUGCCCUAUGGGUUGUAAACCUCUUUUGUCAGGGAGCAAUUGGCGCUACGUGUAGCGUUAUCGAGAGUACCUGAAGAAAAAGCAUCGGCAAAAUCCGUGCCAGCAGCCGCGGUAAUACGGAGGAUGCGAGCGUUAUCCGGAUUUAUUGGGUUUAAAGGGUGCGUCGGCGGAAUGCCAAGUAAGCGGUAAAAUCGGGGGGCUAAACCUCGCUCCGACGUUGAAACUGGCGUUAGUGAGUGGGCGAGAAGUAUGCGGAAUGCGUGGUGUAGCGGUGAAAUGCAUAGAUAUCACGAAGAACUCCGAUUGCGAAGGCAGCUUACUAAACUGCCACUGACAUUGAUGCUCGAAAGUGUGGGUAUCAAACAGGAUUAGAUACCCUAGUAGUC
rnacentral:rRNA from 1 species